GAUGAAUGGCAAUAACACUGGUGGAGAAAGUUAUGAAUGUUUGCAUCUGUUUCUUUACUAGAUCAUUUACCAGCUUAGUAACAUCUUUUCCAGAAUCUGUUAUGAAUGUUUAUUUUCCAUGGUUUUAAUCUCAUGAUCUCUCAUCAGCUUAUCAAUAUCUUGGUUACCAUUGUUCAGUGUUUCCUCUAAUUCUCGGAGUUAAGUUCUGACUUUCUCUAAACUUAAUUUGUUUGCAUUGAAUCAGGUUCUCUGACGAGCGGGUAUAUCGGAGCUCUGAAAUAAUUUACUUGGGGUGUAUUCCUGUACCUGCAGCUGUGACAGGCCAUCAAUGCUCACGGACUUUAUUGUGUUCCUUUGUAUGAUACCUUAGCUAUUGAAGACAUUUCCAAAUACCACAAAGUAUCUCAAGACGCCUGUGAGCUUUGGGAAGGUUACACCUGAACAAAAGCAAGAAGUUGAAAAGUUUGGGUUGGCAAUAUAUUCGUGGGAUGAACUUAUAACUAAAAGAGCAGACAAGCAGGCAGUGGAGAAUGAAGUAGCAGUCGAGAAGACUAAAAGAUAGGCGGUGGAGGAUGAAGUAGCAUCUGAGAAGACCAAAAGACAGGCAGUGGAGGAUGAAGUAGCAGUUGGGAGGGUCAGGAUGCAGGCAAUGGAGAGUGCUUUGUUAUGUCUACUUCAAGGGCAAGGUAGGAAGCUGCCAUCAGACGUCGCCACAUGGAUGAGUGCGUUGGUGGGACAGAAUAGAAAGUAGAUCUUAGGAUUGUGGAACCUUUUCUUCUUUCAGAUAUACACUUUUAUUUUGUUGAUUAUGCAACUCUUAGUAAGGAGUACACUUUGAUGAUA